ACAGUCUCUCCAUUUUCGCUCCUCUAUUUUCCCUUUUCUUUUCAUUACUCUUCCAUUAUUUAGAGAAUCUCUUCCAUCUUCACACAAUUCCAUGAUUUUCACAAGAUCAAUUAUAGAGAAAUCGUUUUCUUCUCCAUUAAUCGGUGAGAAUGGAUGAGUUUGGUGUUCUCGAUAAAAGGCCCAAGGAAAAUCUGCUCCAAUUACCGCAUCCAAGUGUUCUCUCAACAAGAGAAAAUCUGUCAAAAUCUAUGUUCCACUCGACUUGGAUCUGGUUCUAAGUAAACUCGGGUUCGAUUGUCGUUAACAUGGCUUCAGGGAAAAAGGGGAUUUCGGUGGCUUAUUUAAGAAAUUGACCCAAAAUAUUGGAGAAGCGGGGCAGGGGAGGAAUUUGAGAAGAGCCAGAGCGAGGCUUCCCGUUACGGUCUGGAACGGUUGCAAUAAUGGAACGAUGAGGAUGGUGGGAUUGGCUAGGAUAUUGAGGAGACAGAAAUAUCAGUAG
rnacentral:lncRNA from 1 species